GUAGGUGGCAAGCGUUGUCCGGAAUUAUUGGGCGUAAAGCGCGCGCAGGCGGUUCUUUAAGUCUGAUGUGAAAGCCCACGGCUCAACCGUGGAGGGCCAUUGGAAACUGGAGAACUUGAGUACAGAAGAGGAAAGCGGAAUUCCACGUGUAGCGGUGAAAUGCGUAGAGAUGUGGAGGAACACCAGUGGCGAAGGCGGCUUUCUGGUCUGUAACUGACGCUGAGGCGCGAAAGCGUGGGGAGCAAACAGGGAUUAGAUACCCUGGUAGUCCACGCCGUAAACGAUGAGUGCUAAGUGUUAGGGGGGUUUCCGCCCCCUUAGUGCUGCAGCUAACGCAUUAAGCACUCCGCCUGGGGAGUACGGCCGCAAGGCUG
rnacentral:rRNA from 1 species